rnacentral:rRNA from 1 species
AGUGGACGCUGGCGGUAGGCCUAACACAUGCAAGUCGAACGGCAGCACAGUAAGAGCUUGCUCUUACGGGUGGCGAGUGGCGGACGGGUGAGGAAUACAUCGGAAUCUACUUUUUCGUGGGGAUAACGUAGGGAAACUUACGCUAAUACCGCAUACGACCUACGGGUGAAAGCAGGGGAUCUUCGGACCUUGCGCGAUUGAAUGAGCCGAUGUCGGAUUAGCUAGUUGGCGGGGUAAAGGCCCACCAAGGCGACGAUCCGUAGCUGGUCUGAGAGGAUGAUCAGCCACACUGGAACUGAGACACGGUCCAGACUCCUACGGGAGGCAGCAGUGGGGAAUAUUGGACAAUGGGCGCAAGCCUGAUCCAGCCAUACCGCGUGGGUGAAGAAGGCCUUCGGGUUGUAAAGCCCUUUUGUUGGGAAAGAAAAGCAGCAGGUUAAUACCCCGCUGUUCUGACGGUGCCCAAAGAAUAAGCACCGGCUAACUUCGUG